AUGUUAUCAGAUGUGCUCCAGCUUAAAGUAGUGGCUUAGCUCUGAUACCACCUUCUGUCACGACCCCCGACCCCACCCUGGACGGAAUCGGGAGCCGCGGCCAGCCCAGUGGUACCGGUGGUUAUUUUUGAAAAACGUUGCAGCGGAAUUUUCAUCAGGACCGUGAGUUAGGAAAAAUAUCAGAGUUUAUAAAACACCGGAUUUGAUUUAAAUGGGAUAAACCCCUGUUUUACAAUGGUAGCUUUAAUAAAGAUAAAUUUUAUUUUAUAAAACAAUAUUUCUUAAUUUGAUUAAAAUAAACCACUUCUUGAUGCCUUUCAGUGUCGUAUCUAGCCUUUAUUCCAAUCUAUGGUAAUUACCUGAAACAUGUUUGAAAAAGGUUUUGUCAGUGGAAAAUACUGAGUGAGAUCAUUCCAUUUUUAUAAAAUAUAUUGUUAUACCUUACAGUAUUAAGGUUUUUAUAUUUAUUUGUAUUUACCCCACUCAAUCAGUAUUUUGUCACAUGAUGGCAGUUCCAAUAUAUCAGCAAUAAUAUCACUCAUUGGCUUACUUUCGUCCAAUAGUGAAUUUAUCAAAUAACUAUACUUUACUAUUAUUCAAUUUAUCUGUCAUUAGGCGAUUCCUGUGACGGGGUCAUAUCACUGUUGAUCAUUCUUUCAACUAGUGACUCUGGUUAUAUCACUGUUGAUCAUUCUUUCAACUAGUGAUUCUAAUUAUAACACUGUUGAUCAUUCUCUCAACUAGUUGUCUUUGGUCAUAUCACUGUUGAUCAUUCUUUCAACUAGUGACGCUGGACAUGAUGAUGUCCUAUGACAUUACUUUGUCAAAUAUAUUAUUUAUGGCACAAAAUCAGGUAAUCUAGAAUAAUGACAUUUUAUGUCAACUAUUAUAACUUAUCCAAUAUGUCAAUUUACUAAUUGUAAUAUCAUGAUAUAGUAACCUGACUACAAAUAGAAUACAUUAUACUUGACUUUAUUAUGGUAUCCACCAUUUAGAUUUAUUCUUAAACAUACAUUAAAUUUAUUA
rnacentral:lncRNA from 1 species